rfam:Volvox carteri f. nagariensis unplaced genomic scaffold VOLCAscaffold_12, whole genome shotgun sequence.
GCCCGGCUAGCUCAGUGGUAGAGCGCAAGGCUUUUACGGGCUGAGAAACCUUGUGGUCAUGGGUUCGACCCCCAUGUCGGGCG